UAAGCCAUGCGAGUCAACAUAGCAAUAUGUGGCAUACGGCUCAGUAACACGUAGUCAACAUGCCCAGGGGACGUGGAUAACCUCGGGAAACUGAGGAUAAACCGCGAUAGGUCAUCACUUCUGGAAUGGGUAAUGACUUAAAUCUAUAUGGCCCCUGGAUUGGACUGCGGCCGAUCAGGCUGUUGGUGAGGUAAUGGCCCACCAAACCUGUAACCGGUACGGGCUCUGAGAGGAGGAGCCCGGAGAUGGGCACUGAGACAAGGGCCCAGGCCCUAUGGGGCGCAGCAGGCGCGAAACCUCUGCAAUAGGCGAAAGCUUGACAGGGUUACUCUGAGUGAUUUCCGUUAAGGAGAUCUUUUGGCACCUCUAAAAAUGGUGCAGAAUAAGGGGUGGGCAAGCCUGGUGUCAGCCGCCGCGGUAAUACCAGCACCCCGAGUGGUCGGGACGUUUAUUGGGCCUAAAGCAUCCGUAGCCGGUUCUACAAGUCUUCCGUUAAAUCCACCUGCUUAACAGAUGGGCUGCGGAAGAUACUAUAGAGCUAGGAGGCGGGAGAGGCAAGCGGUACUCGAUGGGUAGGGGUAAAAUCCGUUGAUCCAUUGAAGACCACCAGUGGCGAAGGCGGCUUGCCAGAACGCGCUCGACGGUGAGGGAUGAAAGCUGGGGGAGCAAACCGGAUUA
rnacentral:rRNA from 1 species